rnacentral:rRNA from 1 species
ACUCCUACGGGAGGCAGCAGUGGGGAAUAUUGCACAAUGGGCGCAAGCCUGAUGCAGCCAUGCCGCGUGUAUGAAGAAGGCCUUCGGGUUGUAAAGUACUUUCAGCAGUGAGGAAGGCGGGUACGUUAAUGAGCGUGUCUGUUGACGUUAGCUGCAGAAGAAGCACCGGCUAACUCCGUGCCAGCAGCCGCGGUAAUACGGAGGGUGCGAGCGUUAAUCGGAAUUACUGGGCGUAAAGCGCAUGCAGGUGGUUUGUUAAGUCAGAUGUGAAAGCCCGGGGCUCAACCUCGGAAUAGCAUUUGAAACUGGCAGACUAGAGUACUGUAGAGGGGGUAGAAUUUCAGGUGUAGCGGUGAAAUGCGUAGAGAUCUGAAGGAAUACCGGUGGCGAAGGCGGCCCCCUGGACAGAUACUGACACUCAGAUGCGAAAGCGUGGGGAGCAAACAGGAUUAGAUACCCUGGUAGCUACG